rnacentral:rRNA from 1 species
UACGUAGGUGACCAGCGUUGUCCGGAUUUACUGGGCGUAAAGAGCGCGCAGGCGGUCGACCAAGUCGCGUGUGAAAGCCCCCGGCUCAACUGGGGAGGGUCACGCGAUACUGAUCGACUCGAAGGCAGGAGAGGGUAGUGGAAUUCCCGGUGUAGUGGUGAAAUGCGUAGAUAUCGGGAGGAACACCAGUGGCGAAGGCGACUACCUGGCCUGUUCUUGACGCUGAGGCGCGAAAGCUAGGGGAGCAAACGGG